ACGAACGCUGGCGGCGUGCCUAGUACAUGCAAGUAGAACGCUGAAGAGAGGAGCUUGCUCUUCUUGGAUGAGUUGCGAACGGGUGAGUAACGCGUAGGUAACCUGCCUUGUAGCGGGGGAUAACUAUUGGAAACGAUAGCUAAUACCGCAUAACAAUGGAUGACACAUGUCAUUUAUUUGAAAGGGGCAAUUGCUCCACUACAAGAUGGACCUGCGUUGUAUUAGCUAGUAGGUGAGGUAACGGCUCACCUAGGCGACGAUACAUAGCCGACCUGAGAGGGUGAUCGGCCACACUGGGACUGAGACACGGCCCAGACUCCUACGGGAGGCAGCAGUAGGGAAUCUUCGGCAAUGGGGGCAACCCUGACCGAGCAACGCCGCGUGAGUGAAGAAGGUUUUCGGACCGUAAAGCUCUGUUGUAAGUCAAGAACGAGUGUGAGAGUGGAAAGUUCACACUGUGACGGUAGCUUACCAGAAAGGGACGGCUAACUACGUGCCAGCAGCCGCGGUAAUACGUAGGUCCCGAGCGUUGUCCGGAUUUAUUGGGCGUAAAGCGAGCGCAGGCGGUUUGAUAAGUCUGAAGUUAAAGGCUGUGGCUCAACCAUAGUUCGCUUUGGAAACUGUCAAACUUGAGUGCAGAAGGGGAGAGUGGAAUUCCAUGUGUAGCGGUGAAAUGCGUAGAUAUAUGGAGGAACACCGGUGGCGAAAGCGGCUCUCUGGUCUGUAACUGACGCUGAGGCUCGAAAGCGUGGGGAGCGAACAGGAUUAGAUACCCUGGUAGUCCACGCCGUAAACGAUGAGUGCUAGGUGUUGGAUCCUUUCCGGGAUUCAGUGCCGCAGCUAACGCAUUAAGCACUC
rnacentral:rRNA from 1 species